rnacentral:rRNA from 1 species
AAGUCGUAACAAGGUCUCCGUUGGUGAACCAGCGGAGGGAUCAUUAUAGAGUUUUUACAACUCCCAACCCUUUGUGAACUUUGUUCUCUAUUUCUGCUUCGACAGGUGGUCCCAGGGCGGGACCAGCGCCCGUCUAACCAGACGGGCACCUGUCAGAGGUGGAACAAGACUCUGUUUUUCAAUGAGUAUCUGAGUGGUUUAUAAAAUAAGUUAAAACUUUCAACAACGGAUCUCUUGGUUCUGGCAUCGAUGAAGAACGCAGCGAAAUGCGAUAAGUAAUGUGAAUUGCAGAAUUCAGUGAAUCAUCGAAUAUUUGAACGCACAUUGCACCCGUUAGUACUCUAGCGGGUAUGCCUGUUCGAGCGUCAUUUCAACCCUCAAGCCUGGCUUGGUGUUGGGAGUCUACCGUUCGCGUAGCUCCUGAAUUAUAGUGGCGGACUUACAUUCUGUUCCGAGCGUAGUAGUAUUUCAACUCGCUAAGGAAUGUCUGUAGACUCUAGCCAUCAACUCUAUAACUUUUCAAAUGGUUGACCUCGGAUCAGGUAGGAAUACCCGCUGAACUUAA